rnacentral:rRNA from 1 species
AAAACGACUCUCGGCAACGGAUAUCUCGGCUCUCGCAUCGAUGAAGAACGUAGCGAAAUGCGAUACUUGGUGUGAAUUGCAGAAUCCCGUGAACCAUCGAGUCUUUGAACGCAAGUUGCGCCCCAAGCCUUAUGGCCGAGGGCACGUCUGCCUGGG